UACGGGGGGGAGCAAGCGUUGUUCGGAUUUACUGGGCGUAAAGGGCUCGUAGGCGGCCAACUAAGUCAGACGUGAAAUCCCUCGGCUUAACCGGGGAACUGCAUCUGAUACUGGAUGGCUUGAGUUCGGGAGAGGGAUGCGGAAUUCCAGGUGUAGCGGUGAAAUGCGUAGAUAUCUGGAGGAACACCGGUGGCGAAGGCGGCAUCCUGGACCAACACUGACGCUGAGGAGCGAAAAGCCAGGGGAGCAAACGGG
rnacentral:rRNA from 1 species